rnacentral:rRNA from 1 species
AAAACAUGUCCUUUUGAUAAUAAUUUAAGGUCUGGCCUGCUCAAUGAGGAUUUAAAUAGCCGCGAUAACUUGAUCGUGCGAAGGUAGCAUAAUCAUUAGUUUUUUAAUUGGAAACUGGAAUGAAGGGUCGGACGAGAAUGGGACUGUCUCGGACUUAUUUAUUUGGAAUUUUAUUUUUAGGUUAGAAAGCCUAAAUUUUUCUUAAAGACGAGAAGACCCUGUAGAGUUUUACAGUUUUAAAGGAAUGGAUUGAUUUUGGUAUCAUUAUUAUCUAUUUUUAUUAAUUGUUUAGUUGGGGUGAUUGAAGAAAUUAAUUAACUUCUUUUUAAUUUAACACUAAUUUGUGUUUUGGUUGAUCCAUGAUUUAUGAUUAUAAGAUUAAAUUACCUCAGGGAUAACAGCGUAAUUUUCUUUGAGAGUUCUUAUCGAAAGGGAAGUUUGCGACCUCGAUGUUGGAUUAAAGUUAAUUCUUGGCGUAGUCGUUAAGAAAUUUGGUCUGUUCGACCAUUAAAACUUUACAUGA